rnacentral:rRNA from 1 species
GACAUAGGUUGCAAACGUUAUCCGGAAUUAUUGGGCGUAAAGGAUGCGUAGAUGGUUUGAUAAGUUAUCAGUGGCAAAUCGGGGCUCAACCUCGUGGAAGCUGAUAAUACUGUCAUACUUGAGUGCAGGAGAGGUUAACGGAACUCCAUGUGGAGCGGUAAAAUGCGUUGAUAUAUGGAAGAACACCGAUAAGGCGAAGGCAGUUAACUAUUCUGCUACUGACAUUGAGGCAUGAAAGCGUGGGGAGCAAAACGG